AUUAUUUUUCUGAGAUGAAAGCACAAGUUCUUCUUCCACCUAAACUGACAGUGAAUCCAUCGGUGAUCACAGACACAGACUCAGUCACAUUGGACUGUCAGCCUCCACCAUCUGUUUCUGUGUCUCAGUGUUAUUUCAGCACUGUAAGAGGAAGACCGGCCAAAAGCUUCUCUUGUCUGCAGACACUGACAGGAACUGAACUGCUCAAGAUGUCAUAUCAAAGUUCACCUGCUGAAGUUGAAGUGAAAUGCUCUUACGUUAAGGUGUUUCAAUCUCCUGAGAGUGAAACAACCUCCAUCACCAUCCGAAGUGAGUGAACACUCCUGCUAUGGACCAAUAUUACAAUCAUUUUGUUUAUUAUAACAUUUGAUAUGUGAUGAUUAAGUCUUUGGCACUUAGACUCUACAGGAAGAUUUUUGUGAUACAGGAUUGUUUAACCCGAGCAAAGAGUAAAGAUGUCGUUGAACUGUUCUCUCUUUAUUCCAGUCCCUGUUGCCCCACUCGGACCAGCAGUGACAACUAGUCCUGCCAUUUCAGAAAAAGUAACAACUACAACAAACAAGAAAGACUAUAUGAGAGCAAAGGAUAUUAUUAGGGACAUUUAAUUUGUCUGAACCAGUUUCUCAGCAUUGUGGUAGGGUUGAUCUAAACAUACUUUACCACACAUGGUUACCUCUGUAGCCUGUCAGUGUGGUUUUCCUGAGAACAAGUUCGGCAAAAAGACAUCAGCAUGUAAAAGUUGUCACGUAGUCAAACACAAGUGUCGUCCUUAAAGGACUGUGGGACAUUCACAUUAUUCUGCUUCAUCAUGGCUGGACACCUGCUGUUAGUCGUCCUCAUGUAUUCUUGUUCUGAGAUGAAAGCACAAGUUCUUCUUCCACCUAAACUGACGGUGAAUCCAUCGGUGAUCACAGACACAGACUCAGUCACAUUGGACUGUCAGCCUCCACCAUCUGUUUCUGUGUCUCAGUGUUAUUUCAGCACUGUAAGAGUAAGACCGGCCAUAAGCUUCUCUUGUCUGCAGACACUGACAGGAACUGAACUGCUCAAGAUGUCAAAUCAAAGUUCACCUGCUGAGGUUGAAGUGAAAUGCUCUUACCUUAAGGUGUCUCAAUCUCCUGAGAGUGAAACAACGUCCAUCACCAUCCGAACAUCUCUUCCACCUAAACUGACAGUGAAUCCACCAGUGAUCAACGAGAGAGACUCAGUCACAUUGAACUGUCAGACUCCACCAUCCUUUUCUGUGACUCAGUGUCAUUUCUACAUUUCAAGUGGAGGAACUGUCAGAGACUCCUCUUGUCUGCAGACACUGACAGGAACUGAACUGCUGAAGACGUCACCUCAGAGUUCACCUUCUGAGGUUGAAGUGAUGUGUUUUUAUACGGUAAAGCUUGGAGAAAAAGAUUCUCCAUCUCCAUACAGUGGCACUUCCCGCAUUACCAUACACGGUGAGUGAAUGCUUUUUUGAUUUGGUAUCAUAACAAGAAAAGGGGAGAAGUGAAUUUGUCUUUAGGGCUUAUAAACCAAAACAAGGAGAGAAAGACUAAUUUAAGAACUUCUGUUCUCAUAAAAUGCCGCCUGCUUUUUUAAUGUUAAUUGUAUUUUGAGCAACGAUAGAUUUAAU
ensembl:lncRNA